ensembl:snoRNA SNORA62 Small nucleolar RNA SNORA62/SNORA6 family
GUUGCACAUUAUUAAAGCCCAGGUGGAGGCCAGUCUUGGCCAGUGAGCUUCUGGGUGUCGGAAGUGUGCUAUAUUAAUGGCAGGACUUGCGCUAACACCAGUAGAGCCUGCCUCUGACUGGAGUUUGAUAGUACUUGCUGCCACAUAC